rnacentral:rRNA from 1 species
AACGAACGCUGGCGGCAGGCUUAACACAUGCAAGUCGAGCGCCCCGCAAGGGGAGCGGCAGACGGGCGAGUAACGCGUGGGAACGGACCCUUUGCAACGGAAUAGCGCCGGGAAACGGGAAGUAAUACCGGAUGUGCCCUACGGGGGAAAGAUUUAUCGGCAGAGGAUCGGCCGGCGUGGGAUUAGCUAGUUGGUGGGGUAAUGGGCUACCAAGGCGCCGAUCCAUAGCUGGGCUGAGAGGAUGAUCCGCCACAUUGGGACUGGGACACGGUCCAAACUCCUACGGGAGGCAGCAGUGGGGAAUAUUGGACAAUGGGCGCAAGCCUGAUCCAGCCAUGCCGCGUGAGUGAUGAAGGCCUUAGGGUUGUAAAGCUCUUUCACCGGAGAAGAUAACGACGGUAUCCGGAGAAGAAGCCCCGGCUAACUUCGUGCCAGCCGCCGCAGUAAUAC